rnacentral:rRNA from 1 species
CCUACGGGGGGCUGCAGUGGGGAAUAUUGCACAAUGGGCGAAAGCCUGAUGCAGCAACGCCGCGUGAGCGAUGAAGGUCUUCGGGUCGUAAAGCUCUGUCCUAAGGGAAGAAUAUUGACGGUACCUUAGGAGGAAGCCCCGGCUAACUACGUGACAGCAGCCCCGGUAAUACGUAGGGGGAUAUCGUUAUCCGGAAUUACUGGGCGUAAAGGGUGCGUAGGCGGCCCUUCAAGUCAGGGGUGAAAGGCUACGGCUCAACCGGAGUAAGCCUUUGCAACUGUAGGGCUUGAGUGCAGGAGAGGAGAGCGGAAUUCCCAGUGUGGCGGUGAAAUGAGUAGAUAUUGGGAGGCACACCCGUGGCGAAGGCAGCUCUCUUGACUGUUACUGACGCUGAGGCCCGAAAGCGUGGGGAGCGAACAGGAUUAGAUACCCUAGUUGAC